GUUCGGAUUGUAGUCUGCAACCCGACUACAUGAAGCUGGAAUCGCUAGUAAUCGCGGAUCAGAAUGCCGCGGUGAAUACGUUCCCGGGUCUUGUACACACCGCCCGUCACACCAUGGGAGUCGGAAAUGCCCGAAGUCUGUGACCCAACCAUUAAGGAGGGAGCAGCCGAAGGCAGGUCGGAUGACUGGGGUGAAGUCGUAACAAGGUAGC
rnacentral:rRNA from 1 species